rnacentral:lncRNA from 1 species
AGGCUUAUUGAUAACCAGACUAACCAAUAUCCAAAGAUUAUUUAGUCUGUAAGGUAGUAACCUCUAGCUGAGAAUAUCUAGCUGUGGACGUGAAAUCCUAUGAUGAUAUUGAACCCAAAAUUAAACCAAGUGCAAUACAAAUAUGAAUACCAUUUUUUUUUUAAAUAGUUAUUCAGAAAGCUGAAUCACACAAGUAUAAAAAAGAAUAUACUUCAAAAUUGGUUCUCUUUACUCCCUGUUGAUAAUCCAGAAACUUUAUUACAUUUUUGAUAUCACUAUCAGUCAUUAUACACGCCAAUUAUACCUAAGAUUCAAACUAUUCAAGACUCACUUACAGGACUUUAGCCACACCUUUAGCAAACAAAUAAAUAUAACCAACACCUCAAACAAGUUUAUCCUCUCAAUUUUUGUAGGAGAAGAGAACAUGCAAAGAGCGUCUCAAGAUCAUCUUAUUUCAACACAAAACACCCUUAGCAAACUAAGAGAAGAUGUUCUUCAAGACAUUUCACCAAACACAUAGUGUUCAAUCUCUGUAAUCACAGUAUGUCUACAAUGCCUCAUUUCAAUCAAGAACUCCAUGAAAUAAAAGUAACCAAUCACAGAAGAAAGCAGGAAGAAAAUCACAGUAGGUAUAGGGAAAAAAACCGUUAUCAUCAGCCAAACCAUAAGAAUCAACAAUAUAUAAUUGGAAUUAAAGAGAAAAGAUUCAGUAACACGGCAUUAAAGAAUAUAAUGGUCCGCCGUCGAGUAGGACAGCAGGAUACCUUUUCAAGCCAGGUCACAAAAGAAAUAUAACGUGAGAAAACUUAGUCAAAUAGAAACUCUAGGCAAGUGAAUAAACAAAUUGAAGAAGAUAGCCUAAUCAAGCAAACCAAAAUAUCUAAUUCCAUAACACUACAAACUCAUUGCAUUCGAAGAACAUAAAAAUUUUUGCAAAAGAAAAUCUUACUUACACGAGUUAUCAUAGAAAUCGGGGCUACGGUGUUUGAGUUAUGGAUGUUAUGCUGCCACUGGUUCUCCAGGUUGAAGAAUCGCAACCAGAUAGAUAGAGGAAGCUCGAAGAGAGCCACUGCUUGAGGCUACGGAGGCCAAGAGUCAGACGACAACAUUUCACCCGCUUGAAGAGAAUAGAAAGGGUGUACGGCUCUUUGCUUUUCUUUUCUGGGUUAAAAUUUAAACGUGCU